rnacentral:rRNA from 1 species
GACGAACGCUGGCGGCGCGCUUAACACAUGCAAGUCGAACGGAAAGGCCUGCUUUCCCUUGUGGACUGCGGGUACUCGAGUGGCGAACGGGUGAGUAACACGUGAGUGAUCUGCCCCCAACUUGGGUAUAAGCCUGGGAAACUGGGUCUAAUUCCCGAUAGGACUGCAGGGUGGUGCCUGUGGUGGAAAACGAUUUUCUAGUGGUUGGGGAUGAGCUCGCGGCCUAUCAGCUUGUUGGUGGGGUAAUGGCCUACCAAGGCGGCGACGGGUAGCCGGCCUGAGAGGGUGGACGGACACAUUGGGACUGAGAUACGGCCCAGACUCCUACGGGAGGCAGCAGUGGGGAAUAUUGCACAAUGGGCGGAAGCCUGAUGCAGCGACGCCGCGUGGGGGAUGACGGCCUUCGGGUUGUAAACUCCUUUCGACCGCGAGGAAGCCACCUGGUUGGAAGGGUGGUGACGGUAGUGGCAGAAGAAGCACCGGCUAACUACGUG